rnacentral:lncRNA from 1 species
CUUCUGUCAUUCAUAUUUUUGUUGGUCGCCUGAGGGUAAACUCUUUUGUCAUAUAAGAAAUUUUGUUGUUUGGAUUUCUUUAAUUCUUUAGACAUAACAUUUAUCAUUAUUUUCAGGAUUGGUUUUGCAAUCACACUGGUGACUCUGAAGUUGAACGUGCUCUUAGACGAGGUGAAGACCCCGGGUUAGUACUAUUUUGUUUUCUACUUUGUUCCUGUAGUUGAAAGUGCUAGAUCUUACAUUUGAAGAUUUGUUGAGACCAUGUGUAUUCUCUUCCUGUUGCAUAAAGGUUAUAGUUUUAUUUGCGAGACCAACCUGCUAAUCUAUAUGGCCACCGAUUAAAGCCUAAUCUAUACGUAAAACUUAACGGCCGCCGUUAAGUAAACAACCUUAUAUUAGUAAACAACCUUAUAACCUUAACGACCACCAUUUAACCUUAUAACCUUAUAUUAUUAAACAACCUUAUAACCUUAACGACCACCGUUUAACCUUAUAACUAGCGUUAAGUAAACAACCUUAUAUUAGUAAACAACCUUAUAACCUUAACAGCCACCUUUUAACCUUAUAACCAUAUAUUAGUAAACAUCCUUAUAACCUUAACGGCCACCGUUUAAUCUUAUAACGUUAUAUUAGUAAACAACCUUAUAACCUUAACGGCCACCGUUUAACCUAAUAACCUUA